rnacentral:lncRNA from 1 species
CCACAUCAUUCGAUAGCCGCUCGUACUCGUACCACCCCUGCCAAACCCACUCUAAUAUAACGAAACUAUUAUAAAAUUCCAAAUCUUCACCUCCAAUUGAUUAUUUCACUACAAUAUAUAUAUACAUAUACAUAUAUAUAUAUUAUUUCUAAAUCAGAAUCUUAUAAAAUGCUAUACCGUCUAAAAUAUAGAGUAUAACUAUGUAACUUCAUAUUAUUAUUAUUAACUGCUGUAUAAAUUUAAAAUGUUAUUAGUGAAUUAUUAAUUUUGAAUAUAAAUAAAUAAGCGAGGAAAAGACAAGAGCCCAUCGGUUAUUGAGCCGCCCCCACCUCGGUCCGAACACCAACCGAUUGGUCACUUACUUCUCCCAUGACGUCAUUCGCCUUUUAGAUCUUCGAGGAAUUCUUAUCAGAUCUCUCACGCGCGUUUGGCCUGAGUUCCGCACACAUUUGGUCUUUACCAGACAUAGAAGUGAUUGCACGCGCUGUAUUCAACGUGGGCAUUACAUCUGGCUUCUCCGUCCCGGAGUCCAAAGCGAUGGGGGAGGGCAUUUGUUCCUGUGCAUUACGGUAUACCAGAAGAUCUCUUCAGUAUACAUUGUGUGCGAUCAUGAUUCUCUUUUUCUUUUUAAUAUUAAAAAAUUAAGAGUUCUGAAAAUGAAAAUAAUAGAUUAUUUAUUAUGAGGUAAGAAAAUAUUAGAAUGUUUAUUCCAAUUGAGAACAUCAAUUAUCAAAUCAAAUCAUUUUAGUCGAUUAUGCUAAUGAAUCAUCAAACACACCUAAUUAAUGUUAGCGAUUUGAAUGAACUCAUUCAAACUUCGUCUAACAUUCGUCUAAGACGUUCCAAUGCUGAAUGUACCAUUAAGAUCUUCAUUAGCCAAUCUUUUCAACCAACGAAAACCCUCCAAUCAGCAUUCUGAAUGUACCAUUAAGAUCGUCAUUAACCAAUAUUUUCAACCAAUGAAAACCACAUGAUCAUCGAAGCUAUCAGAAAUUUUAAAUUUUACAGCAGUCGCGACUCCCAGAAACUGCGCGCCUCGUCUGAAGGGACAUAAUUCUGAUUUGAAUAACAACCUCAAGUUAAUCUACACCUACCUUAAGUUUAAGAGGCUGUUAAUAUAUCAUUAGGAGUCUAUUUAUAGAGUUAACAAAUCAAAGAAAUUGUUGGAAUCUUAUGUGAUGUGAAAUAGUCUAAAUUGACAUUUGACACACAUGUUUGUACAUAAUACAUAAAUGUAAAACUAAUUAGUAUUACUAUUUCACAUUCAUCUCCAAUUCUAACCAUUAGGAUCAAGAAAACAUUCUAAUAAUCAUCCUCAAUUAUUUGAUUAAGUUUAUACAAUUUUUACAUUUGACGAAACAAUUGGAAGAAACAAAUGCAAGGGCCUACCUAAUUUCCACCUAGGGUUGGUCCUAAUCAAUUGAUCUCAUUUUGAUUGAGCCCAUAUGAAAGGCCCACACAUUUAACUAGCGGUGCAGAAUUCGCCUAAACAUUCAUACCCUCAUACCCCACUGUACAAGCUUUUCUGUCCAAACAAUUACAUUUUCAAAUAUAUAUAUAUAUAUAUAUAUAUAUAUAUAUAUAUAUAUAUAUAUAUAUAUAUAUAUAUAUAUAUAAUGAUUGUUUCAAUAUAUAUAAAUAUUUAAAAAGAAAAAUAUAUUGAACUGCUAAAAAAGAAAAAAUCGGAGAAGCUGAAGCCGACAGCGCUAGACUUCAUAUACAUCUGCCCGUGUAAUUAAAAAAAUAUAAUCUUGGGUUUUAGACUCUAAAUAAUAUUAUCAUACAUUUGCAGCCACAAUUAAAAAAAAAAAUAAUAAUAAUAAUAAUAAUAAUAAAUAUCCGACAUAUAUAGAUAUAUCACAUGUAGAAAUAGAUAUAGGCCCUCCACACAUAUAUAACAUAAAAAGCUGAAGGGAAUCAUAUAAUUGGGAAGCAAAAGCUACUCCUCUGGUCAAAGGGUAAGAACAUGCUUUUGCAUGGUGGUUGGGUGGUAUACGUACACUAUGUUCUACAUGCUUCCUUUUCCUGAUAGCAACCCUUUGUCUGCACAUACAUACACACACACACACACAUUCAUGUGUGUAAGUGUGUGCCUGCAUUUUACAUCUCUAUAUAUGCAGUUUGCAUAACUAUUUACCAGGGUUGAGUUGGCAAACAUACAUCAGCUUAGAUCUCUUUCAAUUAUAUAUCAUCAGCUCUUUUUUUUUUUUGGUUGCUUCUGGCUAAUAGAUUUUUAUGACAAGUACUUAUGGUAAUGUGAUUGGGGGAAUAUUCCUUUUCACUGGGCAUAUAGUGAUAUCGAGGGUCGGCGAAAUCUUAUGUGGUUUCCGGCACAGUAGCCCUAAGAUUUUUUUCGAGGUAUUCGAUAAAUUAACAUAUAAAAAAAUAUAUAUUUGUAGACUUCAAUUAAAAUAAAUCAAUCGAGCUAAAUAAGUUCGGGUGGACGCGGCCUACCUUAGGUAUAGGGGCUCCACCUAUGCAUGUAUAUUAUUGGUAAAAUUUAAUACUAUGGUUAGAUAUUCUUGAACACAUAUUUCAUAUUAUAUAAUAUAUAUAUAAUAUUAAACAAAAAAUAAAAAAAUAAUAACAGCUAAGAACCUGGUUGAUAUGUGACAAAGUUCACAUGUUGAGGAGGAGAUGUUGCAGUUGAUGUGAUAUCGAACACAUUUGUUGUUUUCUCCGGUACACAAGAAUAUUCAACAUAAAUAAUUUUUCAUGCGACACCAAACUAUUAACGCCUAAGAAUCAAAUAAAUUCGAAACACAUUGGGUUCUCAUGAUUAAGGUUGGAUCAAGUCUUUGCAACUAUCAGGUCACACACAAUUUAGGCGACUAAUGAAUAAUUAAAUUUUACGGAUAUACUAUACACCACAAGCAUAUGAUAUUAGCCAUUACUUCAAGUAUUUUUCAUGUAACGAAUUUUCAGAGAUAUUUACCCGUCAAAAGACUCAAAACUACGAAACAUGCCAAAGUACGCCUUGCAAAAUCCCGUUCAGUCUAACACACAUAAUCAAGAUAUAUCUUAAAGAGUAAAUACAUACCUUUUUUCUGCUCUUCUCUUCCUCUAUUUUUCAUUGUCUUGUUUCCUUGUAUGUUGUCCCAUUCGGCAUCUCUUUUUUCAUAUUCCUUUUUGUCUGUUCACAUUGCAAUGAACAUAUGAACUCAAAACACAUCCAACAGUGACGCAAUAUUUCGCUUUUAUAAACGAGAAAUGACAGAAUUGAGAAGGUUUCGAGAAAGUUCAGUUAUUCGAACAAACCUAACAUUUUCGGAAAACGCUUCCCAUAAAACUCAAAACACAUCCAACAGUGACGCAAUAUUACGCUUUUAAACGAGAAAUGUCUGAAUUCAGAUGGUUUCGAGCAAGUUUAGUUAUUUGAACAAAACUAACAUGUUGAGAGAAAGCCUCCCGUUAUAUGAACUCAAAACACAUCCAACACUCAGUGACCAACAUUUCGCUUAUUAACGAGAAAUGUUCGAAUUCAGAAGGUUUCGAGCAAAUUCAGCUAUUCGAACAACCCUAACAUGUUGAGAAAACGAUUCUCAUUCUAUAAACUCAAAACACAUCCAACAGUGACGCAAUACUUCGCUUUUAAACGAGAAAUACCCGAAUUCAGAAGGUUUCAAGCAAAUUUAGUUAUUCGAACAAACCUAACAUGUUGAGAAAACGCUUCCCAUUCAUCUAUGCUCCUCAGAUAUAUUAAUGGUGAUUACAGUUAAUCUGCAUUAUUAACUUGAAACUGCAACAUACACAUCCACAUCCACCAAAACCCUAAAAUUAACUACUGCAAAAAAAAAUUGUCCAAUCACAAUUCAACGUAAUUUCAGGCAUGGGAAUCUGGCGAACACAUUUUCUCUUUCAUCAGGUUUCAAGGAAGUAGCAAGUAGUGUUUAAAUUGAGGCAAAACGAACAAUUACAGCUUUCAAGGAAUUGAAAAUUGCCUAAAAGAACCAGAGAAAUUACCGCGGGACGAAACCCAGCCGACGGUGAUUGGACUCGGCGUAGGAGUCUCCGGCGUGGGCUGGCUGCCAGCUUGUGAACGGUCUCGGCGCAUUUGAACCGGUCGGUCUGGAGCUGCACGAACGUCGGCGCGCCGAGUAAAUUAGCGCAAUUCCACCAGCUGGCUGGAUUUAGGGUUUUCAUUUCUUCUUCCCCUUUCCAUACACACACACUCUAGUAGUAGAAUUGAACUGUGUAACACCCGAUCUUCGUCGCCUUUUCGCCACUGCAAUUUUUUUUUGCAGGGAGACUGAG